AAAAAGCAUCACCAAGCAGCCAUUCACCACAACCUGUCAGCCUCAGGCUCUGUGGGUAUACCUGCCUCCUUUUUGGGCCUCCAUCACCUCCUCAAAAACAUCCUACCUUCGCACCACUGAAGGACAAAUCCUUUUCAUGCUCAUAUGAAGAGCACACUAAAGUAUCCGAGUUUAUUCCUGGCAUUUGGACAGGUGCCUGAAGUGGCAUCGCAUCGGCUCAUGUCCCCCUGGGCACUGCCUGUGUUUGAUAUUCUACAUUAGACACCUCGCAGUCAACUGUGCGUUCACAGGCCAAGCUCUGGGACUAAAUUGUCCUCGCUGCGCUGAGAAAGGCCUUCCUUCGGGCUGGUAAACAAGUCAGCUUGUUAGUAUGGCUUUCUGUCAGAGGAGUGAGGAAACAAAAAGUUGCUCCGGCUUUCUCAUCCCACAGGCAACUCUCUUCAUCAGAAGGUGCAUGCAGCGGUUUCAUUGUACUCUAAUUUAUGAAAUCCAGUAUUUCUCUGUGGGAAGAAAGUUUUUCGUUCCAACUUUUGUGGUGCAGGUAUCUUUGCUGCACCUUCUCAUACCGUACCAAAGCCUUGCUUUAAAACCUGAGGGAAUGCACCUAGUUAGUUAAGAGCAGUGUGGAAGUAUUGUGCUGCUCUUUUCAAGGAAGAAAAAGCUUUCUUCUUUGCCCCAAUUUAGGCUCCCAUGAAUAAUGGAUAUAUUUAUAGGGAAAAUAUAAAUCUCAAUAAGUAGAAAUGUGUAUGUAUUUCUGUAUUUGUUGUUUUACAAAGGUUUAUACAGAUCUAAAUCAAUUCCAAUUCAAUACCUCUCAUUGCAAAAAUAUCCAUGGAGAUGACUUCAUCAUUUUUAUAAAUAAAUUACAAUGCAUUGAGCUUCAAAGUAUCUUUAAGGGCAUGCCACCUGAAAUAGAAAAGCAGUCGUAAAAGUUUGUUACAUGUUUCCAUUUAGCUGCCGUCCCUUACAAAAGUUCUUGUGAAUCAAUAUUUUGUACCGUCAAGUCUUCUGAAGUCUUUGUUAGCUUUGAACAUCUAUAAACUGAAAUUUCUGCCCACAUGGUUUACAAAGAAGCAAAAUACCUCAAGCUCAGCCGGAAUAAAUGGAGAGAACAUCAGUUUUAACUCCAGGAAGGAGAACCUCCACCCCAACCUGGAGUGUUUUCCAGCCUUCAAAAUGUUUCUAAACCCCAUGGUGCUCUGUAUUCAGCUCCAUUCAUCUCCUCAUCAUUUUUGACCAGCUUCCCUCUCCUUAUCUGGGGGACUUUGAGAUCAGUCAAUUUGCUUUACACCUUUGUGUUGUUGUAUUUAUUUUCAUUCUUAGGUUUUGAUGAAUAGAUUUUAUUAACAAUUGAUCAUGUCUAAUCUGUGUUUCCAUGCUCAGUUUUUGUCUCUCGACCAGUGUUUCUCUGUGUAUUAAUUUAGU